UGCAAGUCGAACGGUAACAGCAGUACUUGUACUGGCUGACGAGUGGCGAACGGGUGAGUAAAGUAUAGUUAAUUUGCCUCUUAGAGAGGGAUAGCCAUUGGAAACGAUGAUUAAUACCUCAUACUCCUUAUGUAGUAAUAUAUAUAAGGGAAAUGCUUUAGUGCUAAGAGAUAAGACUAUAUGGUAUCAGGUAGUUGGUGGGGUAAGAGCCUACCAAGCCAAUGACGCCUAGCUGGUCUGAGAGGAUGAUCAGCCACACUGGAACUGAGACACGGUCCAGACUCCUACGGGAGGCAGCAGUGGGGAAUAUUGCACAAUGGGGGGAACCCUGAUGCAGCAACGCCGCGUGGAGGAAGACGCAUUUCGGUGUGUAAACUCCUUUUAUAUAGGAAGAUAAUGACGGUACUAUAUGAAUAAGCACCGGCUAACUCCGUGCCAGCAGCCGCGGUAAUACGGGAGGGUGCAAGCGUUACUCGGAAAUCACUGGGCGUAAAGCGCAUGCAGGCGGGUUAAUAAGUUAGAA
rnacentral:rRNA from 1 species